GACGGGGCUCCCGGCUCUGCACCUGCCUGCCGGUGCCGGGAGCACACCGGGCAGCGGGAACGGUGUCCGGGACACCCAGCAAUGUGUGAUUUCUGUGCUAGUGAAGUUUGGAAAUUGACUGAACAGAGACGCCGAGCUUGGAUAUCCCGAGUGUUCUGGACGGUUUUAGGCGUCGGGGGAUUGUCAGGUAGAUGCAAGACUGGGAAUUAGACUCUCGGUUACUUUUCCAAAUUCAGAACAGCUCCAUUCACGGACACUUUUUUAGGUUAGAUUAAAAAUAAAUUGAGAUCAGCAUGUACGUAUAGACUUGUACAGAAAUAACUGAAGCAGGGAGAACCAGUUUAGUCAAUUUCUGUAUCAAUCGUGUUUCAGGUCUUUGUUGUAACACCCUUUCCUCAUCGGUUAGUUAAAUUUUCACCCAAUUGCAACAAGUAACAAAUUUAAAAUAACAAAUAACGAAUAUUAAAAUAACAAGUAACAGCUACAUUCUUGUUGUGCAUUUCCUUUGGAUCAGUGAAGGCCUCUGCAGGUGAAGCAGCCUGGCACAGGGAUCUGUGUUCUGUAGCACAAAAUUUUCCGGACCAUUCGAAGCUGUGAGCAUGAAAAGCACACACCUGUACAGAAAGGUGCUGCUGGUUAGGGCACCCUGUGCCUGGCAGUGCCCGACCCUCCUGGUGCUGCUGCAGAGCUGUGCCAUGGCUGUGCUGAGCCCCUGGGCUGGCUGCACCCUCAUCGUGUCCCCUGCUCUGUCCUGGCUCCAGGCAAGGCAGCUGCUGCCAGCCUGGGGACCUCUGUGGGUGUAAAACCCAAACUUCUCAGUCGCAAACAGGCUAAAAGGUAAAAUGGUGAAGCUUCCUGGUUCAGUUAUUUUUUAAAAUUGAAGCUUGUAUUGAUGUUUAUGAAAUUUAUUAGGUUUUUUAGGCUCUUGAAUAUCACGCUGAGAGCUGUGAAAAUAGCAGCUCCAGUCUGAUAUUUGAGCACUGUGCUAUCAUUCUCCACUCUACAACAAGGUAUUUUAUUUAUCGCAGCAUCCCAGAGUGGUUUGAUAUCCCAUCCAUCCCUGCCCUGUGGCAGAGGAAGCCAU
rnacentral:lncRNA from 1 species